AGCUUUGUGCAGUGGCAGUAUCCAAUGAGGUUUAUCCGAGGCACGAUUAUUGCUAAUUGAAAACUUUUCUCAAAUGUA
rnacentral:snRNA from 1 species